GACGAACGCUGGCGGCGUGCCUAAUACAUGCAAGUUGAGCGCUGAAGGUUGGUACUUGUACCAACUGGAUGAGCAGCGAACGGGUGAGUAACGCGUGGGGAAUCUGCCUUUGAGCGGGGGACAACAUUUGGAAACGAAUGCUAAUACCGCAUAAAAACUUUAAACACAAGUUUUAAGUUUGAAAGAUGCAAUUGCAUCACUCAAAGAUGAUCCCGCGUUGUAUUAGCUAGUUGGUGAGGUAAAGGCUCACCAAGGCGAUGAUACAUAGCCGACCUGAGAGGGUGAGCGGCCACAUUGGGACUGAGACACGGCCCAAACUCCUACGGGAGGCAGCAGUAGGGAAUCUUCGGCAAUGGACGAAAGUCUGACCGAGCAACGCCGCGUGAGUGAAGAAGGUUUUCGGAUCGGAAAACUCUGUUGGUAGAGAAGAACGUUGGUGAGAGUGGAAAGCUCAUCAAGUGACGGUAACUACCCAGAAAGGGACGGCUAACUACGUG
rnacentral:rRNA from 1 species